rnacentral:rRNA from 10 species
UUAAUUUGAGAGUUUGAUCCUGGCUCAGGACGAACGCUGGCGGCGUGCCUAAUACAUGCAAGUCGAACGAACUCUGGUAUUGAUUGGUGCUUGCAUCAUGAUUUACAUUUGAGUGAGUGGCGAACUGGUGAGUAACACGUGGGAAACCUGCCCAGAAGCGGGGGAUAACACCUGGAAACAGAUGCUAAUACCGCAUAACAACUUGGACCGCAUGGUCCGAGCUUGAAAGAUGGCUUCGGCUAUCACUUUUGGAUGGUCCCGCGGCGUAUUAGCUAGAUGGUGGGGUAACGGCUCACCAUGGCAAUGAUACGUAGCCGACCUGAGAGGGUAAUCGGCCACAUUGGGACUGAGACACGGCCCAAACUCCUACGGGAGGCAGCAGUAGGGAAUCUUCCACAAUGGACGAAAGUCUGAUGGAGCAACGCCGCGUGAGUGAAGAAGGGUUUCGGCUCGUAAAACUCUGUUGUUAAAGAAGAACAUAUCUGAGAGUAACUGUUCAGGUAUUGACGGUAUUUAACCAGAAAGCCACGGCUAACUACGUGCCAGCAGCCGCGGUAAUACGUAGGUGGCAAGCGUUGUCCGGAUUUAUUGGGCGUAAAGCGAGCGCAGGCGGUUUUUUAAGUCUGAUGUGAAAGCCUUCGGCUCAACCGAAGAAGUGCAUCGGAAACUGGGAAACUUGAGUGCAGAAGAGGACAGUGGAACUCCAUGUGUAGCGGUGAAAUGCGUAGAUAUAUGGAAGAACACCAGUGGCGAAGGCGGCUGUCUGGUCUGUAACUGACGCUGAGGCUCGAAAGUAUGGGUAGCAAACAGGAUUAGAUACCCUGGUAGUCCAUACCGUAAACGAUGAAUGCUAAGUGUUGGAGGGUUUCCGCCCUUCAGUGCUGCAGCUAACGCAUUAAGCAUUCCGCCUGGGGAGUACGGCCGCAAGGCUGAAACUCAAAGGAAUUGACGGGGGCCCGCACAAGCGGUGGAGCAUGUGGUUUAAUUCGAAGCUACGCGAAGAACCUUACCAGGUCUUGACAUACUAUGCAAAUCUAAGAGAUUAGACGUUCCCUUCGGGGACAUGGAUACAGGUGGUGCAUGGUUGUCGUCAGCUCGUGUCGUGAGAUGUUGGGUUAAGUCCCGCAACGAGCGCAACCCUUAUUAUCAGUUGCCAGCAUUAAGUUGGGCACUCUGGUGAGACUGCCGGUGACAAACCGGAGGAAGGUGGGGAUGACGUCAAAUCAUCAUGCCCCUUAUGACCUGGGCUACACACGUGCUACAAUGGAUGGUACAACGAGUUGCGAACUCGCGAGAGUAAGCUAAUCUCUUAAAGCCAUUCUCAGUUCGGAUUGUAGGCUGCAACUCGCCUACAUGAAGUCGGAAUCGCUAGUAAUCGCGGAUCAGCAUGCCGCGGUGAAUACGUUCCCGGGCCUUGUACACACCGCCCGUCACACCAUGAGAGUUUGUAACACCCAAAGUCGGUGGGGUAACCUUUUAGGAACCAGCCGCCUAAGGUGGGACAGAUGAUUAGGGUGAAGUCGUAACAAGGUAGCCGUAGGAGAACCUGCGGCUGGAUCACCUCCUUUCUAAGGAA